rnacentral:rRNA from 1 species
AACGAACGCUGGCGGCGUGCCUAACACAUGCAAGUCGAGCGGGAAAGCGGGGGCAACCCCGCGAGUACAGCGGCGAACGGGUGAGUAACACGUAGGUAACCUACCCCUAGGACUUGGGAUAACCUGCCGAAAGGCGGGCUAAUACUAGAUAAGACCACGGGAGCUCCGGCUCCUGCGGUAAAAGGUGGCCUCUGCUUGCAAGCUACCGCCUAGGGAUGGGCCUGCGGGCCAUUAGCUAGUUGGUGGGGUAACGGCUCACCAAGGCUACGAUGGCUAG